UCUGGUUUGGACAGGAGCGCGGUCGUUCUGAGAUUAUACUGUCAAAACUUGAUCUAGAUAAUACUAGCGAAAGGACAUGCGUGGCACUGAUU
rnacentral:ncRNA from 2 species